UACGUAGGGAGCAAGCGUUGUCCGGAAUCAUUGGGCGUAAAGAGCGCGUAGGUGGCUGUAUAAGUCCGUUGUGAAAGUCAAAGGCUCAACCUUUGAAAGCCGAUGGAUACUGUAGAGCUAGAGUACGGAAGAGGCGAGUGGAAUUCCUGGUGUAGCGGUGGAAUGCGCAGAUAUCAGGAGGAACACCGAUAGCGAAGGCAGCUCGCUGGGACGUUACUGACACUGAGGCGCGAAAGCGUGGGGAGCGAACAGG
rnacentral:rRNA from 1 species